rnacentral:lncRNA from 1 species
GUUCUUGGAGUUCCUACCAGGAAUUCAUGUUGCUUGCUUGGGUUUGGGACCCUGGAGCACAAACAAGCACUAUGGUUUGUUGGUGUGUUUGUUUUCUCCUGGGUUUGGCCUCCAGCAGCAAUGCCAGGUGUGAGCUUCCCUCCUCAGGUGUGGUUUGGGAACAUUCAAAGCCCACAUGAGAAGCUGGCCUUGUCCAGCAGCCCCAUCAGGCUGCCCAAAGGCAAUUUGUGCAUGCUGGCUCGUGCUCCCUGUCCAUCCGGAGCAAGGUAAGGCUGCCCACAGCCUGCAGGUGUGCUGUCACACUGGUGGGAAUGGGGUCACUCAGGGUGUGAGGGGAUGAGAGCAGAGUUCCCUGGGGCAGAGCAGGGAGCAGCAUCCCCAGUGAGAGUGCUGAGCCCAGGGCUGUUAUGGAGUGGGCAUGCAGGGCAUGUAAGAGGUCAUCUCAAUGGGUUGCUGCCAUGCACUGGCUGGGCUGGUGCCCCUCCAGUAAGGUGUGCCUCAUUCCUGCUAUUGGGAGGACAAUCAGCAAACACACAUUGCUUUUCCCUCUGACUUUCAUGCAGAGUCAGUUUUCUAUAUGGAACAAGGAAUUGAUGGAAAAGCUUCGGCCCAUUACAGAAGGAUGUUCCAUGUGUGUCACAAUCAGUAGUUUUGGCACAGUUGCCAGCUCAGGACCCAGCACUGUGCUUCCAGCAACCAACCCCUGCCUGCUGGAGCUCUGCUGUAAGGACACAGCAUCACUUGUAGGGAGGUGAGUGGUGCAAGGUGGAUGGGCAUCACCAGUCCCAGUAUGAUGGAGCCCUGCAUUGCUGCAGCCGGGUGUGGGGUGGCAGGAAGCAUGGGAUAUGCUGCUGCUGCUGCAUCCUGCUGUUUGAUGUCCUGCAGAGCUGUAGAGUGGCAGGGGCUGAUUUCAUCCUGUCUCCUACUGGGAGCUGUGCCCUGCCCCAGAGCUUAGGGCAGUGUGGCAAUGCCAGAAGGGUCUGUAAGCAAACUUCAGAUAUUCCAGUGGGGCAUCUUCUCCUAUGAGGAGGGCUUUUGUCCUUUCCCUGCCCCAUGCUGGAAUAGGCUGAGAUUUACAUAGGCACACUGUAGCACCUGCCUUGGAAAGUC